AUUGAACGCUGGCGGCAGGCCUAACACAUGCAAGUCGAGCGAGCGGCGGACGGGUGAGUAAUGUAGGGGGACUGCCCGAAAGAGGGGGAUAACUACUGGAAAAGGGGGCUAAUAACGCAUACUAUCGGAUAACCCAUAUGGGAUUAGCUAGUAGGUGGGGUAAAGGCGCACCUAGGCGACGAUCUCUAGCGGGUCUGAGAGGAUGAUAAGCCACACUGGGAUUGAGAAACGGCCCAGACUCCUACGGAGGCAGCAGUGGGGAAUAUUGCCCAAGGGGCGCAAGCCUGAUGCAGCCAUGCCGCGUGUAUGAAGAAGGCCUUAGGGUUGUAAAGUACUUUCAGCGGGGAGGCGUUACCCGCAGAAGAAGCACCGGCUAACUCCGUGCCAGCAGCCGCGGUAAUAC
rnacentral:rRNA from 1 species